rnacentral:rRNA from 1 species
UGGGGAAUAUUGCACAAUGGAGGAAACUCUGAUGCAGCGACGCCGCGUGAGGGAAGACGUUUUUCGGAAUGUAAACCUCUGUCUUGUGGGACGAUAAUGACGGUACCACAGGAGGAAGCCAUGGCUAACUACGUGCCAGCAGCCGCGGUAAUACGUAGAUGGCGAGCGUUGUCCGGAAUUACUGGGUGUAAAGGGAGUGUAGGCGGUAUAGUAAGUUGAAUGUGAAAGGUAGGGCUCAACCCUUAGAGUGCGUUCAAAACUGCAAGUACUUGAGUGAAGUAGAGGCAAGCGGAAUUCCUAGUGUAGCGGUGGAAUGCGUAGAUAUUAGGAGGAACACCAGUGGCGGAAGGCGGCUUGCUGGGCUUUUACUGACGCUGAGGCUCGAAAGCAU